UACGUAGGGACCGAGCGUUGUCCGGAAUCAUUGGGCGUAAAGAGCGUGUAGGCGGCCUGUUAAGUCUUGCGUGAAAUCUCGGGGCUCAACCCCGAGCGGUCGUGAGAAACUGGCAGGCUAGAGUCCGGAAGAGGAGAGUGGAAUUCCCGGUGUAGCGGUGAAAUGCGCAGAUAUCGGGAAGAACACCCGUGGCGAAGGCGGCUCUCUGGGACGGUACUGACGCUGAGACGCGAAAGCGUGGGGAGCGAACAGG
rnacentral:rRNA from 1 species